CUCAAGUCUUAAAAAGACUGGCUUUUUUCCGAAAAUGGGGUGUCGAGAAGGGUGUGGGGGGUACACGAGUGGCUGCCCUGCACACACUGCCAAGGCAGCAUAAGAGCUGGUCUUCUGGUUUCCUUGGAGAAAAGCUCUGUUGCCCUGAUUAUGAACUCUAUAAUAGAGUAUAUAGCUUUUGUACCUUUUUUUUUUACAGGAAGGUGACUUUCUGUAACCAUGUGAUGUAUAUUAAACUUUUUAUAAAAGUUAACAUUUUGCAUAAUAAACAAUUUUUGAAC
rnacentral:lncRNA from 1 species